rnacentral:rRNA from 1 species
UACAGAGGGGGCAAGCGUUGUUCGGAAUUACUGGGCGUAAAGGGCGCGUAGGCGGUUCGGUAAGUCCUGUGUGAAAUCCCUCGGCUCAACUCUGGAACUGCCUUUGAUACUGUCGGUCUAGAGUAUGGAAGAGGUGAGUGGAAUUCCGAGUGUAGAGGUGAAAUGCGUAGAUAUCGGAAGGAACAUCAGUGGCGAAAGCGACUUCCUGGACCAGUACCGACGUUCAGGCACGAAAGCGUGGGGAGCAAACAGG